UGGGGAAUUUUGGACAAUGGGCGCAAGCCUGAUCCAGCCAUGCCGCGUGAGUGAAGAAGGCCUUCGGGUUGUAAAGCUCUUUCGGUGGGGAAGAAAUUGCACUGGCUAACAGCGAGUGUAGAUGACGGUACCCGCACAAGAAGCACCGGCUAACUACGUGCCAGCAGCCGCGGUAAUACGUAGGGUGCGAGCGUUAAUCGGAAUUACUGGGCGUAAAGCGUGCGCAGGCGGUUGUGUAAGUCAGAUGUGAAAUCCCCGGGCUCAACCUGGGAAUGGCAUUUGAGACUGCACGGCUAGAGAGUAGCAGAGGGGGGUGGAAUUCCACGUGUAGCAGUGAAAUGCGUAGAGAUGUGGAGGAACACCGAUGGCGAAGGCAGCCCCCUGGGCUAUAUCUGACGCUCAGGCACGAAAGCGUGGGGAGCAAACA
rnacentral:rRNA from 1 species